GUGGGGAAUAUUGGACAAUGGGCGAAAGCCUGAUCCAGCCAUGCCGCGUGUGUGAAGAAGGUCUUCGGAUUGUAAAGCACUUUAAGUUGGGAGGAAGGGCAGUAAGUUAAUACCUUGCUGUUUUGACGUUACCGACAGAAUAAGCACCGGCUAACUUCGUGCCAGCAGCCGCGGUAAUACGAAGGGUGCAAGCGUUAAUCGGAAUUACUGGGCGUAAAGCGCGCGUAGGUGGUUUUGUAAGUUGGAGGUGAAAUCCCCGGGCUCAACCUGUGAACUGCCUCCAAAACUGCAUGACUAGAGUACGGUAGAGGGUAGUGGAAUUUCCUGUGUAGCGGUGAAAUGCGUAGAUAUAGGAAGGAACACCAGUGGCGAAGGCGACUACCUGGACUGAUACUGACACUGAGGUGCGAAAGCGUGGGGAGCAAACAGGAUUAGAUACCCCAGUAGUCC
rnacentral:rRNA from 1 species